CUAUCCAAAAUCUUCCCUCUCUUCUUCCUUCAAUCUCCGUUCACUUCUCCUAAACCCUAGCUUUUCACCGGUGCACUUUCUCCUAUUAUCUACUUCAAUGGCGGAUGCUGCUGACGACAUAGACAAGCUCUACGAGUUCGGUGAACGUCUCAACGACGCAAAGGACAAGUCUGAGAAUAAGCAGGACUAUGAAGGAAUUAUUGCGGCAGCGAAUGGAAGUGUGAAGGCUAAACAACUUGCCGCGCAGCUUAUCCCCAAGUUUGUUAAGUUUUUCCCUGAGUUAGCGGAGCAGGCACUUGAUCAGCACUUAAAUUUGAUUGAAGAUCAAGAGCUUGGGGUCCGUGUACAAGCGAUCCGCGGACUUCCGCUAUUCUGCAAAGAUACACCUGAGCAGUUGACUAAAAUUGUUGACAUUCUUGGUCAGCUUCUCAUUGCAGGAGAAAAUGUAGAGCGUGAUGCUGUACACAAGGCUCUUAUGACCGUGUUACGUCAGGAUGUGAAGACUUCUCUAACUGCUUUGUUUAAGCAUAUUGGGAGCAUCGAGGAUCAGAGCGCUGAGGAUUUUAGCACUUGGGACAGCAUUCGCAAAAAAGUUCUUCUAUUUCUAAGAGAUAAGGUGUUCCCUCUAAAGACGGAGCUCCUAGUUCCACAGGAGCUGAUGGAGAGGCACAUAACUACUUUGGUGAAGCAGAAUUUGCAAGAUGUAACGGCUGCUGAAUUCAAAAUGUUCAUGGACUUCUUGAAAAGCUUGAGCUUAUUUGGCCAUAAGGCUCCUGCAGAGCGUAUCCAGGAGCUUGUUGAGAUAAUUGAAGGUCAGGCAGAUCUUGAUGCUCAGUUCAAUGUGUCUGAUGCUGAUCAUAUCGAGAGGUUCAUAUCGUGCCUUUCAAUGACCUUUCCCUUCUUCAAGAGGGGUGCAUCAGGCAGUAAGUUCCUCAACUAUCUGAACAAGCAAAUCAUGCCUGUUUUUGACAAGCUUCCAGAACAAGGGAAGUUGGACUUGCUCAAGAACCUCGCCGAGUGCUCACUUUGUGCAACGACUCAGGAUUCUCGACAGCUGCUUCCAUCUGUAGUUCAGCUAUUAAAGAAAUAUAUGGUUCGAAGAAAGAUUGAAGAAAUUAACUACACAUGUAUCGAGUGUCUAUUGUAUACCUUCCACCAUUUAGCUCACAAGACUCCAAAUGCCACAAACAGUCUCUGUGGGUACAAGAUUGUCACUGGACAACCAUCAGAUAGACUGGGGGAGGAUUUCUCGGAGCAAUAUAAGGACUUUACUGAGAGAUUAAGCACAGUUGACGAUUUGGCCAGGGCUAUGAUCAAGAAAUUAACCCAAGGGAUGGCAGAUCAAAACAAAGCUCUUGCUGCUGCUAAAACAGAAGAAGAAAAGGAUGCUAUUAAAACCCAAAAGCUUAAUGCUACCUUUGCGCUCCGAGCUUGCAACAAUAUAUUAGCAAUGACCCAGCCAUUGAAUGCAAAAACACCAAAAUUUAUAGGCGAUCAAAAAACAAAUUUGUCAUGGAAAGAAGCUGCGAAGCCUUCAGGUCCUUCAACUGCUACUGUUGCAGGUCAGAAGCGACCGGCUGCUACGACAAAUGGGUCAAACAAUAACCCUUUAAAAAAGGGCCGAGGAGCCGGUGGUACGCAACACCAGCUGGUUAACAAGGCAUUUUCAGGUAUCUAUGAUAGUGGAAGAAGCAGUGGAAGAGGUGGUAGGAGUUGGCGUGGUCGUGGAAGAGGACGGUCAUAUCACUAACGUGCUAACUCCACUGUAGCGUUAAAUUAGUUGCAGAACAAUCAGGUGAUUUUCCCGCUGGUAUGAAUUGGAUAUAUCUUGUGGCGAGCUGAACAAUUAGGUGAUCCUUUCCAUUGGUAUGAUUUGGACAUAUCUUAUGGCGACCCAGACGACUAUUUAGGCAGGUUCAUUGACGGAGGUUCUGAUUCUGUAGCUAUCAUCAAAGUUACCAGUUUUCGAUCAUUACCAUAUCAUUACAACACAUUCAGACGACGUUGAUGAGAUUCAAAGGAAAUCAUCGUUCAUACGUCUGUAUACAGUGGAUUCAUCGGAGAAGUGUGAACAAAAUGUAUGGAUUUUCGCUAUGUUCAAAGAGUAUUUCAGGGCAUUUUUUUCCUCAUUGUAGUGUAUGAAUAUUUGUUGUUUCAUGGAGAAAACUAUUGUGGCAA